rnacentral:sRNA from 1 species
GUGUUUGGAGCUGGAGACGGCCUGGGUGCUGGCGAAGCGGAGGCCCGAGGUGAGUGGUUCCCCCGCCCUACCUCCGCGGCGGCCGCAGAAAAGCGGGAAGAGAGGGAUGCUCUUGGGCCGUAGUGGGGCCCGAAUCCACUUCUGCGGCGCGGAGGCGCUCCCGCCAGGCUUCACCGCAGCGUGGACCUCUUCCCGUUGCUCCUCCUCCCGCCACACGGGUCUGUUCGCUCCCGGGGCGAGGAAGAUGACCCCUGCCUAGUCCGGGCAACCCCAGCUCUUCUUCCACUCUCUUGUGUAGCCUCUGAAGCGCAGUUGCCGGCCCCACCCCCAGUUCCCUGCGUUUUCCUCGCCCCUUGCCUCUCUCGGCAUGGUCUCAGGGCACAGCAAGGUGUGUUCACCUGUGCGCGCCGUCCAGGAUCAGACGCUGACGGGCUACAAUGCGGAAGGCGGCGAGGCCUCGGGUUCGCCCCUCGUUUCUCCUUGCCCUGCCCGCCCACCUCCGGCAGGCCACCCUUGACUUCUUGCCCCCUUCCCCUCUGCACCUGGCAGUGGGCUAACGUCACGGCGUGUGCAGCUUCCGGGUUUAGCAAAGCCGCGGACCCUGCCCGGGCUCCGACCACUGGGCGUGUGGGCAUGAACGUGUUCAGAAACGUUUCCUUCCCCCUCGUCUUUCAAAGCUACUUAGAGAGGGGGGACGUGAACCACUGGAUGGGAAAUCAGGAACUGUUUUAUUAAGCAGUUUGCCCUUUGGAGUGGAUUUUAGAGUUAUUCCCCGAAUGUGCUAUGGUUUUGUGGCCCCUCCUUCAUAUCUUUGCUUGGUUUUUCUUUCUGGCUAUCCUCUGCAAUUAGUAGAGCCUUGUAACAUUUGUUUAGUACAUUCAAAAAGUAAUAGAUAAGGCCCCUUUAGCGGAGCACUCGAUGUUGCACUUCAGCCCCGCUCCUCACUGUAAAUUGACAUUUCCUCUUCAAUUCCAGUUAAUACACGAGGAACUCAUGCAAAGGAGGGGACUUUCGGAAAUCCAAACUUAGAGUGCCUUGUAUUUAGAAUCCGGAAGGAAAAGGAAAUGAAAUGUGAAGAAACUCAUGCACCAAACUCGAACUGGGUAUAUGUGAUGUUACCUAGGUAUUAUUUUUGAAGAAUUUCUGACUGACAAUAAAAUAUAGAGUAGAAUACUUUCAUGUAAGGCACGAAACUUAAAUUUAAUGCAAGGUUGUCUGAUCCUUGUUGAGAUUAUUAAGUCUAAGGUGUAUGAACAGCUAAGAAGAGUUCUGUGUUCUCCCAUCACACGAUAGAUGUAAAAAAGAAAGCUGUGAAUUUAUUUACUAUUAUCAUCUCUCUUAGGUUAGGAAGAAGUCAAGUGUGGAAAAAAAUUGUCUUCAGGAGAGGAAGAAGCUUGUAGAUAUAAUUGAACAGCAUCUUGAUUUCUUUUUUGCCAAGAUGUUACUGUUGGCUGGAUAUUUUCUUGUAUUGUUCAAUGAAAAUCAUAAAAUUAUUAUUCAGUGAUUACUUAAUGGACACCAGAAUAACCAAACCCUUUUCCAUUCUUUUUUUUGCAAAGGCUGGUCUCCUUUGGCCUGCACGUCCUGAUCUUUCCCAUAGUAGAACUGGGCUGGGUGUCUCUUUUUUUUUUUUUUUUUGAGACGGCGUCUUCCACUGCUGUCGCUUGGGCUGGAGUGCAGUGGCGCGAUCUCGGCUCACUGCAACCUCUGCUUCCCAAGUUCAGCGAUUCUCUUGCCUUAGCCUCCUGAGUAGCUGGGAUUACAGGCGCGUGCCACCACGCUCAGCUAAUUUUUGUAUUUUUAGUAGAGAGGUGGUUUCACCAUGUUGGCCAGGCUGGUCUUGAACUCAUGACCUCGUGAUCCGCCCGACUCGGCCUCCUAAACUUUUGCAAAGCUGUAUCUCUAGGAAUUGAAUUGGAGGAUUACUGAAGCACAGUAGCAUUCCCUGACUUCCUGCAACGCAGGGAAAUAAUCAGUUAAAAAGAAGAUGCCACUGGAAGUAAAAUUUCAACUGUUUUGUUUUUGAAACAGUAUAGCUUUUCAUAAUGUCAACUAAGCAAUAACUUGGCUUUUUGGUGUGUUGGCUACCCUACUGUUGGCCAUAAAAUAGGCACUCUGGUACUUCAGUUGAUGAAUGUUUUUGCUAAAGUUGGACUGUACUGAAUUUCAUUCUUAUUUUGUAUGCUAAUUAGUGUAAAAUAAGGAAGUAAUUGUUGGAAUGCAUACUGUAUUCUUAGGUUUUAUUAGUACAUUUGGUUGCUUAAACUUAAGAAGAAGAGUAAACAACAACUGGAUUAUAAUUGAACUAUCUUUCUUUUUUGUUUUUUUGAGACAGGGUCUCUCUCUGUCGCCCAGGCUGGAGUGCAGUGGUGCAAUCACAGCUCACUGCAGCCUUGACUUCCUGGGCUAUCCCACCUUAGCCUUCCAAGUAGCUGGGACCACAGGCACACGGCACGACACCAGGCUAAUUUUUGUAUUUUUGGUAGAAAUGGGGUUUCUCUGUGUCGCCUAGGUUGAUCUCGAACUGCUGAGCUUAAGCAGCCCUCCCGCUCCAGCCUCCCAAAGUGCUGGGAUUACAGGCGCGAGACACCGCACCUGGCCGGUAGAUGCAUUUGAAUCCAAUAUAUGGCCUUUGUGUUGAGGCAUGGCAAUACAAAGGAAAAACACGUUCAAGUUUUUAUUCACAAAAUACAGAGAAUACAUGAAGUUCCUCACUAAGUGAUCAUUAUGCCAAAAUCAAAAUUUCAGGUACUUUUAGUGGUGUUGAGAUGUAUUGAUUUAUUUUCUGUCAACUACUGUAUAAUUAUUUUUUUUCUGUCUACCCUCAGUAAGAAGACUGUUAGAAUGCCCUUGGUAACACAGAGGCUGAGAGAUCCUGACAUAAAUCCUUGUUUGUCGAUCCUAUUGUACCUUUUAAAUGAUGCUUCUCUUAUGUCUGUAAGGAAUCUGAUGCUUCCACCAGAUGUCUGGAUGAAAAUAACUAUGACAGGGAGAGGUGUUCCACUUACUUCUUGAGGUACAAAAACUGCCGGAGAUUCUGGAAUUCUAUCAUGAUGCAGAGAAGAAAGAACGGAGUGAAGCCAUUUAUGCCUACAGCAGCAGAAAGAGAUGAAAUCUUGAGAGCAGUGGGAAAUAUGCCCUAUUGAAUGUUUGCAUUAAAAGUGUUUAUAUAACUU